UACGUAGGGUGCGAGCGUUGCCCGGAUUUAUUGGGCGUAAAGGGCGCGUAGGCGGCUCGACACGUUCGUUGUGAAAUCGCCCGGCUCAACUGGGCGGGGUCAGCGAAUACGGUCGAGCUUGAGCAAGCUAGGGGGCAAUGGAAUUCCCGGUGUAGUGGUGGAAUGCGUAGAUAUCGGGAGGAACACCAGUGGCGAAGGCGGUUGCCUGGGGCUUUGCUGACGCUGAUGCGCGAAAGCUAGGGGAGCGAACAGG
rnacentral:rRNA from 1 species